GGCUUCGUGGCCUAAUGGUAAGGCGUCGUCUUCCGGUAAUCUGGAGAUUGGCGAAGAUUGUGGGUUCGAGUCCCAUCGGAGUCG